UACGUAGGGUGCAAGCGUUGCCCGGAAUUAUUGGGCGUAAAGAGCUCGUAGGCGGUCUGUCACGUCUGCUGUGAAAACUCGGGGCUUAACCCCGGGCCUGCAGUGGGUACGGGCAGACUAGAGUGCGGUAGGGGAGACUGGAAUUCCUGGUGUAGCGGUGAAAUGCGCAGAUAUCAGGAGGAACACCGGUGGCGAAGGCGGGUCUCUGGGCCGUAACUGACGCUGAGGAGCGAAAGCGUGGGGAGCGAACAGG
rnacentral:rRNA from 1 species